GAUGAACGCUGGCGGCGUGCCUAAUACAUGCAAGUCGAGCGAACAGACGAGGAGCUUGCUCCUCUGACGUUAGCGGCGGACGGGUGAGUAACACGUGGAUAACCUACCUAUAAGACUGGGAUAACUUCGGGAAACCGGAUCUAAUACCGGAUAAUAUAUUGAACCGCAUGGUUCAAUAGUGAAAGACGGUUUUGCUGUCACUUAUAGAUAGAUCCUCGCCGCAUUAGCUAGUUGGUAAGGUAACGGCUUACCAAGGCAACGAUGCGUAGCCGACCUGAGAGGGUGAUCGGCCACACUGGAACUGAGACACGGUCCAGACUCCUACGGGAGGCAGCAGUAGGGAAUCUUCCGCAAUGGGCGAAAGCCUGACGCAGCCACGCCGCGUGAGUGAUGAAGGUCUUCGGAUCGUAAAACUCUGUUAUUAGGGAAGAACAAAUGUGUAAGUAACUAUGCACGUCUUGACGGUACCUACACAGAAAGCCACGGCUAACUACGUG
rnacentral:rRNA from 1 species